rnacentral:rRNA from 1 species
UACGAAGGGGGCUAGCGCUGUUCGGAAUCACUGGGCGUAAAGGGCGCGUAGGCGGCCGAUUAAGUCGGGGGUGAAAGCCUGUGGCUCAACCACAGAAUUGCCUUCGAUACUGAUUGGCUUGAGACCGGAAGAGGUAAGUGGAACUGCGAGUGUAGAGGUGAAAUUCGUAGAUAUUCGCAAGAACACCAGUGGCGAAGGCGGCUUACUGGUCCGGUUCUGACGCUGAGGCGCGAAAGCGUGGGGAGCAAACAGG